UACGAAGGGUGCAAGCGUUACUCGGAAUCACUGGGCGUAAAGCGUGCGUAGGCGGUUCGUUAAGUCUGCUGUGAAAGCCCUGGGCUCAACCUGGGAACUGCAGUGGAUACUGGCGAGCUAGAGUGUGAUAGAGGAUGGUGGAAUUCCCGGUGUAGCGGUGAAAUGCGUAGAGAUCGGGAGGAACACCAGUGGCGAAGGCGGCCAUCUGGAUCAACACUGACGCUGAGGCGCGAAAGCGUGGGGAGCAAACAGG
rnacentral:rRNA from 1 species